rnacentral:rRNA from 1 species
UACGUAGGGGGGCAAGCGUUGUCCGGAUUUAUUGGGCGUAAAGAGCGUGUAGGCGGCCAUACAGGUCAGCUGUGAAAACUCGAGGCUCAACCUCGAGACGUCGGUUGAAACCGUUUGGCUAGAGUCCGGAAGAGGAGAGUGGAAUUCCCGGUGUAGCGGUGAAAUGCGCAGAUAUCGGGAAGAACACCCGUGGCGAAGGCGGCUCUCUGGGACGGUACUGACGCUGAGACGCGAAAGCGUGGGGAGCGAACAGG